rnacentral:lncRNA from 1 species
AUCACCUGUAAGUAUUGCCUAGCUACUCUUACAAAUGACAUAGUAUUUACAAUAUCUUGUUGCUUCCUCUGUAAAGCCAAAUUUAACUUAUUUGUAAUCUCCAAUAUAGUUUGCAUCAAAGGUAAGACAAAAGCAAAUUGAAAUGAUUAUAAAAAAUUAAGAAGUAGUCAGUUGUAAUAGUUUCUAGUACAUCCAUAUUAGAAG